rnacentral:rRNA from 1 species
GACGAACGCUGGCGGCGUGCCUAACACAUGCAAGUCGAACGAAGCACUGCGGAAAGAGACUUCGGUCAAUGGAAGCUUUGACUUAGUGGCGGACGGGUGAGUAACGCGUGAGGAACCUGCCUUUCAGUGGGGGACAACAGUUGGAAACGACUGCUAAUACCACAUAAUGUGUUUUGGGGGGCAUCCCCCGGAACACCAAAGAUUUAUUGCUGAAAGAUGGCCUCGCGUCUGAUUAGAUAGUUGGUGGGGUAAACGGCCUACCAAGUCGACGAUCAGUAGCCGGACUGAGAGGUUGAACGGGCCACAUUGGGACUGAGAUAACGGCCCAGACUCCUACGGGA